rnacentral:rRNA from 1 species
CCUACGGGUGGCUGCAGUGGGGAAUAUUGGACAAUGGGGGGAACCCUGAUCCAGCCAUGCCGCGUGUGUGAAGAAGGCCCUCGGGUUGUAAAGCACUUUCAGUGAGGAAGAACGCCUGGUGGUUAAUACCCAUCAGGAAAGACAUCACUCACAGAAGAAGCACCGACUAACUCCGUGCCAGCAGCCGCGGUAAUACGGAGGGUGCGAGCGUUAAUCGGAAUUACUGGGCGUAAAGCGCGCGUAGGUGGCUUGAUAAGCCGGUUGUGAAAGCCCCGGGCUCAACCUGGGAACGGCAUCCGGAACUGUCAAGCUAGAGUGCAGGAGAGGAAGGUAGAAUUCCCGGUGUAGCGGUGAAAUGCGUAGAGAUCGGGAGGAAUACCAGUGGCGAAGGCGGCCUUCUGGACUGACACUGACACUGAGGUGCGAAAGCGUGGGUAGCAAACAGGAUUAGAUACCCUAGUAGUC